GAACCUAAAGGGAACUGAGAUAUGAAUCUUUUAUUUGGGCACUUUAGAUUCAUGGAGUUAGUAGUGCAACCGACCACAGUCUUU
rnacentral:ncRNA from 2 species